AUUGAACGCUGGCGGCAGGCUUAACACAUGCAAGUCGAGCGGAGCGGCGGACGGGUGAGUAUUGCCUAGGAAUCUGCCUGGUAGUGGGGGAUAACGUCCGGAAACGGGCGCUAAUACCGCUUACUAUCAGAUUAGCCUAGGGCGGAUUAGCUAGGUGGUGGGGUAAGGGCACAGCAAGGCGACGAUCCGUAACUGGUCUGAGAGGAUGAUCAGUCACACUGGGACUGAGACACGGGCCAGACUCCUACGGGAGGCAGCAGUGGGGAAUAUUGGACGAUGGGCGAAAGCCUGAUGCAGCCAUGCCGCGUGUAUGAAGAAGGUCUUCGGGUUGUAAAGCACUUUAAGUUGGGAGGCGUUACCGACAGAAUAAGCACCGGCUAACUUCGUGCCAGCAGCCGCGGUAAUAC
rnacentral:rRNA from 1 species